UACGGAGGUUGCAAGCGUUAUCCGGAUUCACUGGGUUUAAAGGGAGCGUAGGUGGGUUGGUAAGUCAGUGGUGAAAUCUCGAGGCUUAACCUGGAAACUGCCAUUGAUACUAUCAGUCUUGAAUAUUGUGGAGGUCAGCGGAAUAUGUCAUGUAGCGGUGAAAUGCUUAGAUAUGACAUAGAACACCAAUUGCGAAGGCAGCUGGCUAGGCAGAUACUGACACUGAGGCACGAAAGCGUGGGGAGCAAACAGG
rnacentral:rRNA from 1 species